GGGUACAGCCGGUCCAGCAGCGGGGGGAGUCAGGCGGGGGCGGUGGGUGCCCGGAGUCCUUGGGCGGAAAGCGGGUGGCGGCGGCCCGGGAAGUCCGCGGGGAACGUCCAGGGCUCAACCCUGGGAUGCCGGUUGAUACUGUCGGGCUCGAGUCCGGAAGAGGCGAGUGGAAUUCCUGGUGUAGCGGUGAAAUGCGCAGAUAUCAGGAGGAACACCAAUGGCGAAGGCAGCUCGCUGGGACGUGACUGACGCUGAGACGCGAAAGCGUGGGGAGCAAACAGGAUUAGAUACCCCGGUAUC
rnacentral:rRNA from 1 species